rnacentral:rRNA from 1 species
AUUGAACGCUGGCGUCAUGCCUAACACAUGCAAGUCGAACGGUAACGCGGAGAGCUUGCUCUCUGGCGACGAGUGGCGGACGGGUGAGUAAUACUUAGGAAUCUGCCCAAUAGUGGGGGAUAGCCCGGGGAAACCCGGAUUAAUACCGCAUACGCACUACGGUGGAAAGCGGGGGAUCGUAAGACCUCGCGCUAUUGGAUGAGCCUAAGUCGGAUUAGCUUGUUGGUGGGGUAACGGCCUACCAAGGCGACGAUCCGUAGCUGGUCUGAGAGGACGAUCAGCCACACUGGGACUGAGACACGGCCCAGACUCCUACGGGAGGCAGCAGUGGGGAAUAUUGGACAAUGGGCGAAAGCCUGAUCCAGCAAUGCCGCGUGUGUGAAGAAGGCCUGCGGGUUGUAAAGCACUUUCAGUAGAGAAGAAAAGCCUGGCGUUAAUACCGCCGGGUCUUGACGUAACCUACAGAAGAAGCACCGGCUAACUCCGUGCCAGCAGCCGCGGUAACG